CCCACACCCAGGCCCUGCUGCCGGGCCGAUGGGCACCACUAAGAGGUGCUCUGGGCCCUAACUGGGACCCUCAUCCUGGCCCCUACGCAGGGUCUUCCACAACAGAGGAUACAUUUCUGAAACGCCUUCAACCUAAGAUUUCAACAGCUACCCAGGCAGCCAAAGCCCAAGGGUAAAGAAGAGCAGCCCCAGAAAAGAGGACAGAGCAAGUGUGGCCGGCCUCGGCGGUGGCGGGCCAGCAGGUUAGUGGAGGCAGGAGCACGGAGACGGCAGCGCCGUGUUCCGACCACUUCCUACAGGCGCUUCUCAAAGCGCGGCCCUGGGCAGUCACUGGGGAGCUUGUCAAACAUGGAGAUUCAGGGCCCUGGUGCCCGGGAGGCUGGAGAACCACCGCCAACCGUGUGUCACAUACUGUCCACCCCUCGGAGCUCUUAUAUAUCCCCAAGGGCAUUCCUGAGUAGGUGAAAGGCCUUCCUUUGGCUGACACUGAGGCCUCCCAGGACCUCAGUCUUCCCUGUGUCAUGUCUUGUUCUGACCCACUUGACCCAACAAGGGCACACACAACAUACUCCCACCACUCCUGAAGUCCCCCUGCCUUUGUUCAAGCUAUUCCCUGGUCAGAAAGGCCUUCCUGAACAACAAGGACCUCCUGAUGCUGUGAAGGAUAAAAGGUAUGAAGAUGGGCAGAGGGGGGAGGUGCAGGACCGGGGUGGGGGAUGGGGGGUAAAGAAGGGGUCAAGAGUUAGGAGGCAGGGGAAGGGAGACGGAAAUCCAGCCCCUCCUGUCCCACUCUAAGGGCAUCACGCUGUGGGCAAGGCCUCCCCCUACGCUGCCACCCCAUGCGUGUGCCUGGGCUGGCUGCCAUGGCUGGUCAAUGGGUUAAUGAUUCCAGUAGCACAGGGGCUUGGCACAGGUCACCUCCCACCAUGCACAGGACCUGAGUUAGUGGGGGACACAAAAGACGAGGGCCAUGGCACAGGGGGACACUGGUCUAGUGCCCUCAGGCACCCAGCCUGGGCAGGGCAGGACAAGGGGAAGAAGGGGGCACCUGCUGACAGCCUCUGGCUCAGGGAGGCCGGACCCAGAGUCGGGAAUCCAUGGGAAGCUGGGAGUGUCUCCAGACCCGGUUUAGGGAGAGAGUAAGCAGCCGCCUGUGAGGGGCCUCAGCCUCCUGGUCAUGAAAGAAUCCUGGGUAGAGGCUAAGGCCCCUCAAGGAGACCCUCCUCCUGUGGCAGUGGGAAGGGUCAGCCUGCUCUGUCCAAGCCGCGCCCCCCAGUCCUGGGAACAAAGGGCACGUCCCUGCAAAGCCUGCCCAUGUGUCCUGGGAGCUGGGUCCCCUCAGAGGGCUGCCUAUGGGAGCACAGCCGCAGCCCCAUCAACAGCAGGCAAAAGCCCCAGGGCCGGCCCUAUCUCCAUCUCUGGCCUGUCUGCUCAUGGCCACCAAGUGCCCAGCCCUGGGGAGUAUCCCACAGGGGACCCAGCCUUCCCUCUGAGAGGGGGGCCUCAGAGACGGCCCGGGGGCUCCGGCCCUCACCUCCAGGAGCUGGGGAGCUGCAGAAGAGAGAGAGAGAGAGGAGCUCGCCAGGUGGAGGCGGGGCAGCAGCAAGCUCGAAGACGCACCCCUGUGCAGCCGGGGGUGCCGAGGAGGGCCCGGGGGCUGCGCGAGGUGAAGGGGUGAGGAAAGGCAUCUCAUAGGAGCUGGGUAACUGCGCAUCAGCUCCUGUAUGAAGCCGUUCUCACCCCCCACCUACUGACUACGGCCGCGACCCUCCUCCCGGAAGCAUUGUGUGCACCCCGGACGGCAGGUGGGACCUGCCACUAGCAGCUGCUCGUGGUGACAGCAGUGACGGUAAGGGACAGCCAGCCCAGGCGGCACUGCCCGCCGCUGGGGACCUGCAGCACGGUGGUGCCUGCGUGCCUCGCCCGACCGCGGCCUGCCGCUGCCUCCUCUGGCCAGGGCCUGGGUCUCCCUUAGCUGGGCUCCACAGGGAGGCCUCAGGAGGCUGUGGAGACAGGCUAGGGCAUGGAGCCUGGGGACCCCAGGGGCAGCAGACCUGAGCUGGCACAGGAGCUGUGAGUGGGCAUCAGGGGCUCGGAUUUCCCCCCUCUGCAGCUUUCUACUCCCGGCCACUUUUCCUGCCUCACCGUCUGUGUCAGGACACCUCUGGGAAGCUAGUGAGGUGUCACUGAGCCCAAGAGGAGGUUAGUUUCCCUGAGACAAAAAGCAGCCAGGGGUUACUCAGGGUCGGAGGAUGGGGGAGGGGGAGAUGGGGUGACAGGUAAAGGCUACAGGAUAAAUGACAGAACGACUCCAAAACCGAAUUGCUGAUGGUUGCCUGUAUCUGUGAAUAAACUGAAACCACGGACAUGUGCACUUCAGGGGCUGGACUGCGUGCAUGCAGAUAUCCAAUAAAGUUGUUUUUAAAAAAUAAAGAGCUUCCCUGGUCCCUGCCCAUCUUUCUUGACCACCGUGCCCGCCUUCCCCUGCUGCAGGCCUCGCCACAGACUCAGCAGCCACCAGCACCAUCAACACACUCUCCCACAGAUGCACGGCCUGGCACACGGUAGGUGUUCAAUAACACCGUUAUUGCUGAAUUAAUGACUUAAUGACAGAAGAUCCCCUAAACAGCACAUGGAAGAAAAGCUCCAGGGUGCGGAGUUCUGGCCCUAAGGAGAACUGGGGACAGGAGGGGGGAAGGCGAGGGAGGGGGUGAAGGGCUCCAUGUGACACGUGGUGGGGAAGGGGCUCCAUGUGACACGUGGUGGGGGAGGGGCUCCAUGUGACACGUGGUGGGGAAGGGGCUUCAUGUGACACGUGGUGGGGAAGGGGCUCCAUGUGACACGUGGUGGGGCGAAGGGCUCCAUGUGACACGUGGUGGGGAAGGGGUUCCAUGUGACACAUGGCUGGGGGAGGGGCUCCAUGUGACACACGGUAGAGAAUGGCUCCAUGUGACACACAGGCAUUGGAGUGGCUCCAUGCGACACACUUAAGGAAGAGCCUCCACGUGACACGUGAGUGAGGAGGGCUCCAUGUGACACAUGGGUGGGGAAAGGACUCCAUAUGACACAAGGGUAACGGAGUGGCUCCAUGCAAUACACAUUGGGGAGGCCCUCCAUGUAACAUGUGUUGGGGGAGGGCUCCACGUGACACAUGGGUGGAUGAGGAGCUGCAUGUGACACAUGGGUAAGAGAGGAGCUCCAUGCAACAUAUGUAGGGGAGGGCCUCCAUGUGACACGUGAGUGGAGAUGGCUCCAUGUGUCACAAGGGUGGGGAGGGGCUACAUGUAACACAUGAGUGGGGGAGGGGCUCCAUAUAACAAAUGAGUAAGGAGGGACUCAGUGUGACACACGGGUACAGGGUUUAGUGUGACAAAUGGGUUGAGGAGAGGCUCUAUGUGACACGAGUCAGGGGUAAUAAGUGCAGCACAUGAGUGAGGCAGGGACUCAGUGUGACAUGAGUGGGAGAGGGACUCCAUGUGACACAUGAGGAGGGGAGGGGCUCAGUGUGACACAUGAGGGAGGGAGGGGCUCUGUAUGAUACUUGAGUAAGAAAGGGACUCCAUACGAUACGUGAAUAGAGAAGGAGAUCAACGUGACACAUGGGUGAGGGAGGGGCGCGUUGUGACAGGGGUGUGGGAGGGACUCAGUGUGACACAUGAGUUAGUGAGGGGCUCUGUAUGACACAGCGGGAGAGGGAAUCCAUAUGAUCCGUGAUGAGGGGAGGGGCUCAGUGUGACACAAGGGUGUGGGAGGGGUUGAGUGUGACACACGAGUGAGGGAGGGGCGUAUUGUGACAGGGGUGUGGGAGGGGUUCAGGGUGACACAUGAGGGAGGGAGGGGCGUGUUCUGACACAGGGGUGUGGGAGGGGCUCAGUGUGACCCAUGGGUGAGGGAGAGGCAUGUAACACAGGGGUGUGGGAGGGGCGUGUUCUGACACAAGGGUGUGGGAGGGGCUCAGCGUGACACGGGUGAGGGAGGGGCGUGUUGUGACACAAGGGUGUGUGAGGGGCAUGUUGUGACACAAGGGUAUGGGAGGGGCUCAGUGUGAUACAUGAGUGCAGGAGGGGCGUGUUGUGACACGGGUGUGGGAGGGGCUCAGUGUGACACAUGAGUGCGGGAGGGGCGUGUUGUGACACAGGGGUGUGGGAGGGGUUCAGUGUGACACAUGAGUGAGGGAGGGGCGUGUUGUGACACAAGGGUGUGGGAGGGACUCAGUGUGACACGAGUGAGGGAGGGGCGUGUUGUGACACGGGGGUGUGGGAGGGACUCAGUGUGACAAAUGAGUGAGGGAGGGGCUCUAUAUGACACAUUAGUGGGAGAGGGAAUCCAUAUGAUACAUGAUUAGGGGAGGGGCUCACUGUGUCACUUGAGUGAGGGAGGGGCAUGUUGUGGCACAGGGGUGUGGGAGAGGCAUGUUGUGACACAAGGGUGUGGGAGGGGUGUGUUGUGACACAGGGGUGUGGGAGAGGCAUGUUGUGACACAAGGGUGUGGGAGGGGCGUGUUGUGACACAGGGGUGUGGGAGGGACUCAGUGUGACAAAUGAGUGAGGGAGGGGCUCUAUAUGACACAGUGGGAGAGGGAAUCCAUAUGACACGAUGAGGGGAGGGGCUCAGAGUGACACAUGAGUGAGGGAGGGGCGUGUUGUGACACAAGGGUGUGGGAGGGGCUCAGUGUGACACAUGAGUGAGGGAGGGGCGUGUUGUCACAAAAGGGUGUGGGAGGGGCCCAGUGUGACACAGGGAUGUGGGAGGGGCCUGUCGUGACACAGGGGUGUGGGAAGGGUUCAGUGUGACACAGGAGUGAGGGAGGGGCUCUAUUUGACACAGUGGGAGAGGGAAUCCACAUGACACAUGACUAGGGGAGGGGCUCAGUGUGACACAUGUGUAAGGGAGGGGCAUACUGUGACACAGGGUUGUGGGCCACACUCAGUGCGACACAUGAGUGGAGGAGAGGCUCCAUAUUCCACAUGAGUGGGAGAGGGACUCCAUGUGACACAUGAGUAGGAGAGGGCAUGUGGUGACACAAGGAUAUGGGAGUGACACAUGAGAGAGAGAGGCUCAGCGUGACAUACUGUCGUCAGAGGGGAUCUAUAUGACACACGUGGGGGAGGGGCUUAGUGUAAUGCAUAGCUGGUGAGGGGGGCUAAUGUGACAAAUGAAUGGGGGAGGGAUUCAGUAAGACACAUGAUGGGGGACAGUGGGAACACGUGAAUGAGUGGGGGAUCUGGCGUUACAAAUAGGUGGGGGGGGUCUUGGUGUAACACAUGAGUAGGAUAAGGGCUCAGUGACACAUGACUGGGGGAGUGUCUCUAUGUGACAUGAAUGGGGGAGGUACUAGGUGUUGCAAUGAGAACGGGGCUCAUUGUGGCACACAGGUUGGGGGAGGGGCUUCACGUAACACGAGUGAGGGAGGGGUUCCAUGUGACAAAUGAGCAGUGGGACUUGGUGGGACUUGGUGAGCCAUGUGAGUGAGAGAGGGGCUAUACGCGACAUAUGGGUGGGGGAAGGACUCAGUGUGACACAUGAGUGUGGAACUCAGUGUGACACAGGGGUGUUGGAGGGGCUGAGUGUGACGCAUGGGUGAAAAAGGUAUUCUAUGUGAUACACGAGUGCAGGAGGGAGUCUGUGUGACACAUGAGUGGGUGAGGGACCCCAUGAUACCUAAGCUGGUGAGGGUCAAGGUGACACAAGACUGAGGAGGGACUGAGUGUGAUGCAUGAGUGGAGGAGGGAGCCCAGUGUGACACACUGAAUGUGACACAUAGACGGGGGGCGGAUCAGUGUGACAUGUGGGUGCAGAAGGGGCUCAGUGUGAUGUAAAAAUGGUGGGAUUCAGUGUGACACAACUGGGGAAAGUCUCUAUGUGACACGAGUAGAAAGGGACUCCGUAUGAUACCUAAGAGGAGGAGGGACUCAGUGGGACACAGGAGGGAGGGAGGAAGGGAGGGGUCAGUGUGACACAUGAAUUGCGGGGCUCAGUUUGACACAUGGGUGGAAUAGGGGUUCUAAGAGACACGUGUGGAGAAACAUGAGUGGGAGGGAGUCAGUGUCACACACAGGUUGGGGAGGAGCUCAGAGUGACACAUGAGUGUAGCAAGGACUCAGUGUAGGACAUGGGUGAGAGGGCCUGUGUGUGACACGAAUGGGGGGCUGUGUGUGACACAAAUGAGACAUGAAUGGGGAGGGAUUUUCAGUGUGAUGCAGGAGUGGGGGAGGUGCUCAGUAUAACACAUGGGUGGGGGAGAGACUUCAUAUGGCACAUUGGUUGGGGGGUCUAGAUGAGACAUGAGUCAGGGAGGGGAUCCAUGUGAUACACGAAUAGGGGACGGACUCUGCAGAACACAUGGGUGGAGAAGAAGCUCUAUGUGACACGAAUAGGGAAAGGACUUGGUGUGACACAAAGGUGGGAGGACAGACUCUGUGUGACACAUGAAUGGGGGAGGGGCUCAAUGUAACACAGGUGGGGAGGAGCUCCAUAUAACACAUGAACGAGUGAGGCACUUAGUAUGACACAUGAGUACAGGGUCUAACGCAUGGGUGGAGGAUGGGCUCCAUGUGAGUCAUGAGUGGAGAAGUGAUCCAGUGUGACACAUGAGUGAGGGAAGGGGCUCAGUGUGACAUAUGAAUAGGGGAGGGGCUCUGUGUGACACAUGGGCAGAGAAAGGACUCCAUGUGACACGUAAGUAGGAAAGGGACUCAGUGUGACACAUGAGUGGGGAGUUUGGUGUGUCACAUGCAUGAAGGAGGUGCUCUGAGACACACGAGUCGAAGUGGGCACAGUGUGAUACAUGAGUGGGGAGAGGAUCAUCUGACAUAUGAGUGGGGGCUCAGUGUGACACAUGAGUGGGGAAGGGCUCCAGAUGACACAUGAGUAGAGGAGGGGCUCAGGAUAACACAUGAAUGAGGGAGGUGCUCACUGUAACACAUGGGUGAGGAAAGCAGCUCAGUACGACACAUGAGAGUGGAAGAGGGGCUCAAUGUGACACAGGAGUGAGGGAGGGAGUCGGGGUGGCAUGUGGGUGGGAGAAGGACUCCAUAUGAUACGUGAGUGGCAGAGGUCUCAGUGUGACACUGAGGGGGGAUUCAGUGUGACACGUGAUUAGAUAGGGACUCAGUAUGACACGAAUAGGAGGGGGACUGUAUGAUUGGAGGCAGAGGUUUAGCAUGACACAUGAGUCAGGGAGGAUUCAGUGUGACAUGGGUGCAGAAGGGGCUCAGUGUGGCCCAUGAAUGGCAGGUCUCAGUGUGACAGUGAGUGGCAGAGGGACUCAGUGUGACAGAGGAGUCGGGUAGGAGUUCCAUAUGAGACAUGAGUUGGUGAGGGGCUCAGUAUGCACGUGAAUGGGGGAGAAACACAGUGUGAUACACAGCAGGGAAGGGAUUUAGUAUAAAACAUGAGCGAGGGUACUUGGUGUGACACAUGAGUGAAACAGGGGCUCUAUGUGACAGAGGGUCUCUAUGUGACACAUGAGUGGAGAAGAGGCUCAAUGUAAUGUGACAUAAGUGGGGAAGGGACUCAGUGAGACACACAGGUUAGGGGGUUUCAGUGUGACACAUGAGUGGAACAGGGACUAGGUGUGGCUCAUAGGUGGGGGAGGGGGCUCUGUGUGACAUGAGUCGGGGAGAGGCUCCAUGUGACACAUGAAUGAGUGAGAAACUAGGUAUGACACAUGAAUAGGGGAGGUGGUCAGUGUAACACGAGUGAAAGACAGACUUAGUUUAAUAGAUAAGUAGGGGGAGGGGCUCAGUGUUACACAUGGUGGAAGAAAGACUGGAUGUGGCACAAUAGUGAGGAACAUACGUGUGACAUGAGUGGAGUAGGGGCCCCAUGACACAUGAGUAGGGGACAGACUCAGUGUUUCACAUGGGGGGAGGAAGAGCUCAGGGUGUCAUGAGUGGGGGGACUUCAUGUGACACAUGGGUGGAGGAGGGGCUCGAUGUGACACAUGGAAGGGAGGAGCAGAUCAGUAUGACACAAGUGCAGUAAGGGGCUUAGUGUGACACGAGUUUGAAAGGAGCUCUAUGUGACAUGAGUUGGGAAAAGGACUCCAGGAUACAUGAGUAGGGGAGGGGCUCAAUGUGACACAUGAGUGGGGGAGGGACUCCAUAUGAUACGUGAGUGGGGGAUGGGGUCAGUGCGACACAUGAGUGAGGAGUGCUCAGUGUGACACAUGGAUGUCACAGGAGCUCAGUGUGACACACAGGGGGAGGGACUUGAUGUGACACAUGGGUGGGGGAGGGGCUCCAUAUGACAUAGUAGAGGAUGGGCUCAGUUGACACAUGAAGAGGUGAGGGACUCAGUAUGACAUCUGGGUGCUGGAGGGGCUUUGUGUGACACAUGAGUAGGGGAGGGGUUCAGUGUGGCCUAUGGAUGGGAAAGGGACUAAGUGUAAUGCUUGAAUGCAAAGGCUCGGUAUAACAUAUGGGUGGAAGAGGGGCACCAUCAGUGGGGAAGGGCUCAGUCCUCCUCAUGAGUAGGGGGAGGGGCUCUGUGUUACGUAUGACACAUGAGUGUGGAAGAGGUUCAAUGUGACACAUGAGUGGAGGAGGAGCCCCAUGGGACACAUGAGAAGAGGAGGGGCUCAGUGACAUGAGUAGAGGAGGGGCUCAGUGACAUGAGUGGAGGAGGGGCUCAUAUAAUGCAUGAGGGGAAGGGCACAGGGUGACACAUGAGUUGGGGGGGGUGUGACACAUGGGUAGAGGAGGGGCUCCAUGUGACACAUGAGAGGAGGAGGGGCUCAAUGUAACACAUGGUGGAGGAAGGGGCUCAGUGUGACACAUGAAAUGGGAGGGACUUCAUAAUGAUGCAUGAGUGAGGGGCUCAAGAUGACACAAGGGUGGGAAAGGGUCUUAGCAUGACACAUGAGUGGGGCUCUUGGUGGACACACAAGUGAAGGGUCUCCACGGGACACAAGUGAGGAAGGGACUAAGUGUGACACACAGGUUAGUGGAAGGGCUCAGAGUGACAUAUGAGUGGAGAGUCUUGGUGAGACACAUGGGUGACGGAGGUGCUGUAUGAGACAAGUGUGGUGGAGGAACUCUAUGCGACACAUGAGUAGGCAAGGGACUCCAUAUGAUGCAUGAGUAGGGGAGGGGCUCAGUGUGACACAUGGGUCUCACAGGGGCUCAGUAAAACACAUAGGUGGGGGAGGGAUUUCAUGUGACACAUAAGUGGGGGAGGGGCUCCACAUAACACAUGGAUUCAGUGUGACCCAUGAGUGAGGGAGCAGCUCAGUAUGACAUAAGGGUGCUGGAGGGGCUAUAUGUGACCCAUGAACCUGGGAAGGGCUCAGUGUGGCACACGGGUGGGAGAUGGGCUCAAGUGUGACACCUGAGUGAGGGGGCUCAGUAUAACACAUCGGUGGAGGCACUAGAGGGGCACCAUGAGACACAGGAGUGAGGGAAGACAGUGCUACUCAUGAUCAGGGAGAGGGCUCAGGGUGACACACGAGUAGGGAAUGGACACAGGUGUGACACAUGAGUGGAGGAGGAGCUCAGUGUAAUACAUGAGUGAGGAGGGGCUCCAUGGGACACAAGUAGAGGAGGGGCUCAGUGUGACACAUGUUCAAGGAGGGGCUUGGUUGACACAUGAACCUAGCAGUGGUUUUCACCCUCAGGAACAUCCCAUGAACAUCCCACUGAGAGUGAUGGGCAUCCUGGGGUGAAGGUGGGACACCCAGGGGGCCACCUCAUCCUACCAGACCCCAAGGCAGUCUGCACACACCACGCUAAUUCUGAUUCAGAAUCUAAUUAAGACAGGCAACUAAACAAUCCCAAAAGUUACAGAAGUUCAUGCACCAAAAGUACAAUUCCAAUUAGCUAACCUGAAACUUCUCCUGAAGACCACCAAGGUCCCCUAAAAUUGAGUCUACUCCAAUCCGUGAAGGGGACCAUUAAGACAGCUGAGGCACCGUCAAACCCAACAAGUCCACACCCCCUCUCCCUCGAACAUCCACAGGGUCUUCAUGGACACUAGAGGGUCCCAUAUCUGGGCUCUCCAAGACCUAGAAAUUUCCAAAAUGGUUAUCUGACAACCAACACUUGGCCAACCAAAAACAUUAAAUCUGAUAGACAAAGCAAUUCCCAUCCUUGACCACCGUCAUUUUAGAGAGCAGAAGUUCACUGUAAUAGCCCCAAAGUAGAAAAGACAUAGCUCAGAUUCUUACAAUGGAAUAAAUUUUGCUUUACACAAAAUUCACUGGCUUGUCCGCUAUGUUCUGAUUUUACCCCAGAAGCAUGAACACUCCUUCACAG
rnacentral:lncRNA from 1 species